AAGGUAUUGUGUCUUAUUGCUCUUUGAAAAAAAGAGAGGAAAGUCCAGACACCGAAGACCGCCAUGCUUCCGAGAUGGAAGGAUCUUUGUUAGAGAUAACAAAGGUACAGAUAGUGUCACAGAAAAUAUACCACCCUUAAUAAAAGGGUAAGGGUGAAAAUGUGAGGUAAGAGCUCACACAUCUAUUUGGUAACAAGUAGAUGCGAUAAACCUCAUGGGGUGCAAGACCAUGUAUACCAGCGCUUGAGACUUGGUCGGUCGAGCUGGAGGGUAGGUCGCUUAUGUAUAUUGGAGACAGUAUACUCAGAUAAAUAAUAAGGCUAUACUAUAAUGUAUAGACAAAAUCUGGCUUAUAGCAAUACCUUUUUU
rnacentral:RNase_P_RNA from 1 species